ACAUUUGUUUGUUUGUUUUGGAUAAUUCUCCACUCUGCUGCUGUUUUUAGUUCUUCCGGAGUUUCUAGGCUGUUUUCAAGUGUCCUUUUCUGCUUUUUCUCAUUUUUGUUGAGAAACCAAUCAAACCAUGGGAAAAGGGAAGAAAAAUAAACUUCCUGACAGGUUUGUUCAAUUUUUUUAUGUGUUUGUUGAAUUCUAGCUCAGUUCAAAUGUUUCCUUACAUUUUUUUCUGUCUAGGUGGUUGGAUUAUUCUGUGGUGGGGCAGGAAAUACAAGGAAUACACAUAGUGGCAUGUAAAGUACCCAUGAAUGAGGGAAUCUUCCGUAACAAAAAUCUGGAUCGGGAACUUUGGUUUACGCCGGAAAAGUUGAUUGAUCUUGUUCCUAACGUCGGCUGCAUAAUCGAUCUGACUGCCA